rnacentral:rRNA from 1 species
GGCCGAUUAGCUAGUUGGCGGGGUAAUGGCCCACCAAGGCGAUGAUCGGUAUUCGGCCUGAGAGGGCGCACGGACACACUGGAACUGAAACACGGUCCAGACUCCUACGGGAGGCAGCAGUGGGGAAUUUUGCGCAAUGGGGGAAACCCUGACGCAGCAACGCCGCGUGGAGGAUGAAGUAUCUUGGUACGUAAACUCCUUUCGAUUGGGAAGAUAAUGACGGUACCAAUAGAAGAAGCCCCGGCUAACUUCGUGCCAGCAGCCGCGGUAAUACGAGGGGGGCAAGCGUUGUUCGGAUUUAUUGGGCGUAAAGGGUGCGUAGGCGGUUUGGCAAGUCUUGUGUGAAAUCUUCGGGCUCAACCCGAAGCCUGCAUAAGAAACUGCCGGGCUUGAGUAUGGGAGAGGUGAGUGGAAUUUCCGGUGUAGCGGUGAAAUGCGUAGAUAUCGGAAGGAACACCUGUGGCGAAAGCGGCUCACUGGACCAUAACUGACGCUGAGGCACGAAAGCUAGGGGAGCA